rnacentral:rRNA from 1 species
AUUGAACGCUGGCGGCAGGCCUAACACAUGCAAGUCGAACGAGUGGCGGACGGGUGAGUAAUGUCUGGGAAACUGCCUGAUGGAGGGGGAUAACUACUGGAAACGGUAGCUAAUACCGCAUACCAUCGGAUGUGCCCAGAUUGGCUUAGCCAGUAGGAGGGGAAAAGGCUCACCUAGGCGACGAUCCCUAGCUGGUCUGAGAGGAGGAACCGCCACACUGGAACUGAGACACGGUCCAGACUCCUACGGGAGGCAGCAGUGGGGAAUAUUGCACAAUGGGCGAAAGUCUGCUGCAGCCAUGCCGCGUGUAUGAAGAAGGCCUUCGGGUUGUAAAGUACUUUCAGCGGGGAGGCGUUACCCGCAGAAGAAGCACCGGCUAACUCCGUGCCAGCAGCCGCGUAAUUC